rnacentral:rRNA from 1 species
CCCGCUCAGAAACUACAAAGGAAUUGACGGGGCCCCGGCACAAGCGGUGGAGCAUGUGGUUUAAUUCGAUGAUACGCGAGGAACCUUACCUGGGCUCAAAUGUAUGUUGACGUAUUCUGAAAGGGAUACUUCUUCGGACAAUAUACAAGGUGCUGCAUGGUUGUCGUCAGCUCGUGCCGUGAGGUGUCGGGUUAAGUCCCAUAACGAGCGCAACCCCUAUCAUUAGUUGCCAUCAGGUCAAGCUGGGGACUCUAAUGAAACUGCCUACGCAAGUAGUGAGGAAGGUGGGGAUGACGUCAAAUCAGCACGGCCCUUACGUCCUGGGCUACACACGUGCUACAAUGGCCGGUACAGAGCGCAGCGAGGCCGCGAGGCGGAGCGAAUCGCUUAAAGCCGGUCCCAGUACGGAUUGGAGUCUGCAACCCGACUCCAUGAAGUUGGAAUCGCUAGUAAUCGCGCAUCAGCAUGGCGCGGUGAAUACGUUCCCGGGCCUU